rnacentral:lncRNA from 1 species
UGACUCUCAUCUCUCUUUGUCUCUCUACCUCUGGUUCUCUCAAGAACCUUCCCCCUUCCCCUCCUCUCAGAUAAACUUCACUGACCUUCUCCAGCCAUCUCCGUGCCUGAAUCCAUGGUGGUCUCACCACCUACCAGCCUUAUGCCUCCCACUUUAUCAUGUGCCAUUAUUUCGAGGCCCUCAAGUGAAAUAGAGGCGGUUCACUCACCUCCCAUGGCUUUCCAUGCCCUUUUCG